GGGGAUGAUAUUGGAAUCGACGGAGAUUGGGAUGGUAGGAGCAGCAUGCCGCGGUUACCGAGUCCGCGUAACAAAUCGGUGAAAACAAUAAGUGCGAACUAUAAUUACGCAUUGGCUGCUUAAUUAAAUAAGCAACCCGUCCACUCAAAAGUUUUGCUCGCCGGCUUUGAGAUGGGCGUCGACCAGACGAGCAUCUCAUUGCCCUGUUCUCAGUGGGGCAACGAGAUUACAAACUGAGAUAUUCGGGUCACAGCUCUGUCCCACGAGUAGUGCCCGAAGAAGUAUCAAGAUGGGACUACGCAUGUAGAAGCUUCUAUGGUCCUAUCUUCGGACCGGGGUUCGAAUCCCCGCAUCUCCACAA
rnacentral:tmRNA from 1 species